GACCGCCAGUGAAAAUCGAUUUUCACUGGCGGUCGGCGUAAUAAAACCGCCAGUGAAAAUCGAUUUUCACUAGCGGUC
rnacentral:pre_miRNA from 7 species